rnacentral:rRNA from 1 species
CAGGCCUAACACAUGCAAGUCGAGCGGCAGCGGGAAAGUAGCUUGCUACUUUUGCCGGCGAGCGGCGGACGGGUGAGUAAUGCCUGGGGAUCUGCCCAGUCGAGGGGGAUAACUACUGGAAACGGUAGCUAAUACCGCAUACGCCCUACGGGGGAAAGCAGGGGACCUUCGGGCCUUGCGCGAUUGGAUGAACCCAGGUGGGAUUAGCUAGUUGGUGAGGUAAUGGCUCACCAAGGCGACGAUCCCUAGCUGGUCUGAGAGGAUGAUCAGCCACACUGGAACUGAGACACGGUCCAGACUCCUACGGGAGGCAGCAGUGGGGAAUAUUGCACAAUGGGGGAAACCCUGAUGCAGCCAUGCCGCGUGUGUGAAGAAGGCCUUCGGGUUGUAAAGCACUUUCAGCGAGGAGGAAAG